GACGAACGCUGGCGGCGUGCUUAACACAUGCAAGUCGAACGGAAAGGCCCUGCUUGCAGGGUGCUCGAGUGGCGAACGGGUGAGUAACACGUGGGUGAUCUGCCCCUUACUUUGGGAUAAGCCUGGGAAACUGGGUCUAAUACCGGAUAGGACCAUGCUGUAGGUGGUGUGGUGGAAAGAUUAGUUUCGGUAAGGGGUGAGCUCGCGGCGUAUCAGCUUGUUGGUGGGGUAGUGGUCUACCAAGGCGUAGACGGGUAGCCGGCCCGAGAGGGUGGGCGGCCACAUUGGGACUGCGAUACGGCCCAGACUCCUACGGGAGGGGGCAGUGGGGAAAAUGGCGCAAUAGGCGCAAGCCUGAUGCGGCGACGCCGCGUGGGGGAUGACGGCCUUCUGGUUGUAAACUCCUUUCAGCCAUGACGAAGCCCUUGUGGUGACGGUAGUGGGAGAAGAAGCACCGGCUAACUACGUG
rnacentral:rRNA from 1 species